GAAGUGUGGACGCCAGUCUGCAUGGAGCCAACCUUGAAAUACCACCCUUUAAUGUUUGAUGUUCUAACUCGGCCCCAUAAUCUGGGGUGAGGACAGUGUCUGGUGGGUAGUUUGACUGGGGCGGUCUCCUCCCAAAGAGUAACGGAGGAGCACGAAGGUUAGCUAAUCACGGUCGGACAUCGUGAGGUUAGUGCAAAGGCAUAAGCUAGCUUGACUGCGAGAGUGACGGCUCGAGCAGGUACGAAAGUAGGUCUUAGUGAUCCGGUGGUUCUGAAUGGAAGGGCCAUCGCUCAACGGAUAAAAGGUACUCCGGGGAUAACAGGCUGAUACCGCCCAAGAGUUCAUAUCGACGGCGGUGUUUGGCACCUCGAUGUCGGCUCAUCACAUCCUGGGGCUGAAGUAGGUCCCAAGGGUAUGGCUGUUCGCCAUUUAAAGUGGUACGCGAGCUGGGUUUAGAACGUCGUGAGACAGUUCGGUCCCUAUCUGCCGUGGGCGUUGGAAGAUUGAGAGGGGCUGCUCCUAGUACGAGAGGACCGGAGUGGACGAAUCACUGGUGUUCGGGUUGUCAUGCCAAUGGCAUUGCCCGGUAGCUAAAUUCGGAAGAGAUAACCGCUGAAAGCAUCUAAGCGGGAAACUUGCCUCGAGAUGAGUCUUCCCUGGGGCUUUAAGCCCCCUGAAGGAACGUUAAAGACUAUGACGUUGAUAGGCUGGGUGUGUAAGUGCAGCGAUGCAUUGAGCUAACCAGUACUAAUGAUCCGUGAGGCUUAACCU
rnacentral:rRNA from 1 species